CCUACGGGAGGCUGCAGUGGGGGAUAUUGCACAAUGGGGGGAACCCUGAUGCAGCGACGCCGCGUGGGUGAAGAAGCGCCUCGGCGCGUAAAGCCCUGUCAGCAGGGAAGAAAAUGACGGUACCUGAAGAAGAAGCCCCGGCUAACUACGUGCCAGCAGCCGCGGUAAUACGUAGGGGGCAAGCGUUAUCCGGAUUUACUGGGGGUAAGGGGGGCGCAGACGGCGAUGCAAGCCAGGAGUGAAAGCCCGGGGCCCAACCCCGGGACUGCUCUUGGAACUGCGUGGCUGGAGUGCAGGAGGGGCAGGCGGAAUGCCGGGUGUAGCGGUGAAAUGCGUAGAUAUCAGGAGGAACACCGGUGGCGAAGGCGGCCUGCUGGACUGCAACUGACGUUGAGGCCCGAAAGCGUGGGGAGCAAACAGGAUUAGAUACCCCUGUAGUC
rnacentral:rRNA from 1 species